AUACACUCACACACUAUGCACAUUACUGUGGGUUUUAAUGUCGUGGACCUCUGAUACACUCACACACAAUGCACAUUACUGUGAGUUUAAAUGCAGUUUUAUUGCCGUGGACCUCUGAUACACUCACACACAAUGCACAUUACUGUGAGUUGUAUUGCCGUGCAUUGUGUAUGAGUGCAUCACAAAGCUCCACAGCUAUAGAACUUACAUUAAUGUGCAUUGUGUAUGAGUGUAU